rnacentral:tRNA from 1 species
GCCUGUGUGGCUGAGUGGCUGAAAGCAGCAGUCUGCAAAACUGUUUAUCGUCGGUUCGAAUCCGACCACAGGCU